ensembl:lincRNA Gm26578 predicted gene, 26578
GCACUCAAUCAGGGCGAUCCUAGGCUCGCACGGCGGCUGUCCACCGUUUCCCUCCGCCCACCGCGCCGACGCCCGGGCGCCCACGCCACCCUUUCCCCGACCACCCUCUGCGCAGCCCGGGCCCAAGCGGCGGGACGCAGGCUCUCGGACCCGGAGCCGGUUCCCGCUUCUCUCGCUAGAGGGCAGACGGGGCCCGCUCAAAGCCCUCAGACCGAAGGGCACGCGCAGCCGGUAGAGAUCCCGCAAUCGGAGCCGCACUCCGGGGCUGGGCUCCGCGACCAACGUGGGGUCCGAGAUCAGAGCCCGGGAGCGCGACGCACGGCAGACCCAGAGGACCCGGGAGGAACGGCCAGCAAUCUCGGGGUGCGCACAGCGCACGGGCACCAGGUGGAGGCGGCGCCGGCACGGCAGUUCGGGGACCCGGUUGGGCGCCAAGAGAGCUGCGCGAGGACACACGGGACGCGGCUAGGUGCCCGCCUAGGAGCAGCGGAGCGGCUGGCACUCACCUGGGCUCGGGUCGCCUUCGGCGGGCGCGGGCUUCCCGCGGGAUCCCCGGUCCUUCUUCUUGCCCUUCCCCUUGCCUCUGCCUUCUUUGCGCUCAGACAUCUCGCUAAAGAUGAGCGCUCUACGCGGACCCGGCUGGGCGACGGUGACGCGCGACAAGUUUGGUCCAAGGGCUUGCAGAAAAGUUUGUCCCGGGAGGGAAGAGCCAGUGGCCGGGCUGCGCGGGGGCGUCGCCUGUCGCCUGCAGGGAGCGGCGUGGACUCGAUCACCUGGAGCGCCCGCUACGUCUGGGGGUGUCUCGGGGCUACUCUUGUGUCCCGGGUCCUGCCGCUGCCGGCUCUGGAGUGGCCUCGCUCCGGUGGCUGUCUCGCUCCCUUACAGCCCGAAGAGGGAAAGGUGCUCACAGUCCGGUCUAUGCUCGCAUCUCCCGGCAGCUGCCGCCGCUGCGCUGCGUUCCGCUCCUGCUGCCGGCGCGGCCCGGAGUUCCCACAAGUUUUGGGGAAGUCCUAGCCGGCUCUUUUUCAAUUGCCCGCAAGUUGGACGCAGGCGCCUCCUUCGCACCCUCCCCCUCGCCUCGCCCCCUCCCUCUUUCCCCACCACACCCCCACCCCGAGGCGCAGACACGCCACCGGGAGGAGCCUGAGCUGGGCGAUCACGGCUCAGCCCCUUUCUUCUGGCAGCUGGGCCAGCCUAGGGGCGGCGGAGCCCAGCGGCUGCCGGGAACUCCCGACAGGGGUCGCUGGAAGCUUCGCUGACAAAGUCGCAGCCGCCGCGGGACAGAACAGAGCAGUCUGGAGAGGCCAGGAAGGCAGGAAGGCGACCCUGGUGCUCGCAGUCCCUGGCAGGCUGCGGGGCUGAUCCAAGCCUUGAAAAGGGGGGGGGGCGGGAUGGAGAAAACUUUGCAACCGUAGCACCUGCCCCAUAAUGAAAGCUCUGGAGACCUGGAGCCCCGGUGAGGGGGAAGGAACAGUUGCUAUUUCCCAGAAGGGUUCAGAGUUCAUUUCUCUCUUGCUUUAGGGAAGUUUCCCUCUGGCACUAAGAGCGAAGGUGCAGCCUGGAGUGGAAGGGAAUUUGAGGUACCCAGGAAGGGUUCUGUGAACUUCAAGCAUGGACAGCUUGCACUUCGUACAUCUGCCACUUGAGCAUGUGUCUGCCUUCCCGUGCUAAAUAGCAUGACUGUUGGAUUUCCCAUCUCCAUUAAAAAAAAUACUCUAGCUUCUUCCCAAGCACACGUAUCUCUUACUACAGCUUAAGUUUUAAAAGAACUGAGGAGCCAUAGUUCACCAUAGAGAGUAACAUGUCUACGGUGUGGAUGGGUACAAGUCAGAUGCGCGGGGGGGGGGGGGGGUUGGGGCCGUAGAACUGUAGUGCAGACCCUUAGUUCAGUAAUACCAGCCCCCUCCCACACCCAUUAGACUUUCUGAGAAUUGCUAGUGAAUCCUAGCGUUCCUGGAUCCAGGUGGAGAACUCUAAGGAAUAGUCAGAGACCAGAGUGAUCUGCACCAAGGAGUGAUUCACAAUGGUCUCCACAUAGAGACAGAUGCUGUCAUCAACACACACACAGUUGUGGCCAACUUAGCCUGCUCUUUUACUGAUGGUAUAGAGUUGUGGUCGAGAAACAGCUCGCACCAACGAUCAAUAUUCUACAGCUAUCCCACUUUCAGAGUGAUUUGGCUCCUUCCUUUUCGCUUCCUGGAGUUAAUACUAACAGACCCGUGGCUGUCCACAGCUUUCCCUGUGUUCUCUGGCUGCCACGAUUUAAACAAAGGUGAAAUCCAGAGUACACCUGUCACACAUGGGUGGGAAGGGAAAACGGGGCAAAGAUGUUCAUUUUAAAUCGUCUUAAGAAUCGCUUCCAUCCUACUUUAAUUUUCGUUGGAUUAAGAAUCAAACUCUGUAAGAUAGGUGCAAUUGUUAAGAUAGCUCAACAGUACUAGCAUCAUUCUUUACUCUUAAACCUUUAGUGUCCAGACACCUUUGAUAGCUUUCCAGCAAAUACCACAUAGUGUGGUAUUUGUGCCAAACAGCAGAACCCCAGGAAAGAUUAUGACUCUGUGAAAAGCACUGCAGCCGGCCUGGGCCAUUCAGAGUGAAGGGAAAGUGGCCCCAGAGCCGGCUGGAAUAACUCCACUUUCCCAGGAGGGGCCACUGCUCAGCCAGCUAGGAGUGAGCGGCAGCAAGCCGCUGAAAGCAGAAACCUUUCAUUUCAGAGUGUAUUUAUCUGGAGGAUGUGAGGCAGUUAGAGAGCUCACGAUUACUAACCACAUGUUGUCAAACACCAGCAUUUUAGAAUCAAAGGGCUGAAAACAAGCUUGCAUCUUGGAACUUAAAAAAAAUAAGUGUAAGAUCUUCCCAAAUACUUGGGUAAUCAAAACCCAAGGCUACAGGAACACCAUCUUCUACCUUUUGUUCCCGAGUCUAGAUACGUUACUUCCCAGAACACCUUCAUGGUGGGAGUAUCUCCAGGAGGAUAAAAGGAGUCUACACUUCCUGAAAUUUUCUACUUGAAUAAAACCACUGUGAUAGGUGACAAACCUCCGAACUAUUUUACCAAGAAAAAUGACUGAUGCUCCAGUAACUUCAGAAUAAAGCACCAACAGUGUUCCCAUGGAAACUGUGGGGGUGGGGAAUGGAUGGAUAUGAUUUGGAUGUAAGCAGUAACUAGCAGUACAUGAUUUUUUAAACUUGGUUAGAUGACGAUGGAAGAGGAGAAGUGGGGAGAUGAGUUGUGGUAGUAGGUGCUGAUGGAAAUUUCAAGACACAUGACAGAGUGUCAUUUAAUGGCAAGGCUGCUUCCUAGAACUUUGCCCUGAUUCUGGAAUCCUAUUUUAUUGCCAGUUAAAGCUGAAUUAGCAGGAACUUCUCCACAAAGCCAUUUAUUUUUUAUGUUAUUUUGAGUUGAUUUCUUGAGUAUAUUUUACUACAUGAUUUACAACCAACUGAAAGAUUAACCAAAAAGUCAAUUUCUUCGAUAGUUAAAAUAUUUAUGAGAUUGGUCAAAACUUCAAAAUUGUGCUUAAAUUAUUCAUUUCUGUGGUCAGUAAGUGGCAAAUGUAAUGGUUUUGUGUUUUAAAAAAUACUUUGGAACUGACUUAAGGACUAAAAAAAAAAAGUAUUCUUUUUAAAAACUAUUUAAGCAGGUGUGGAGAUGAUUCAUCUUGUAAUCUCCGAACUUCAGCAGAUGAGGCAAAAGUACCACCAGGGGCCUUAAGGCCAGCCUGAGCUGCAGAAGGAGACCACAAGUAACACAGACCCAAAAUGUUACAAAUAUAACUAGUUAAAUAGAAAAAUAUUAAAUGUUAGCCUUAGUCAAAACAUUUCAAAGUGAAAUAACUUAGUGAAUUUAACAAACUUGUUAUGUUUUGUUCAGCUCCUUGAACAGGUAUCAUGUAUGGCUGGCCAGCUAUCAACUUACACCAAAGUGUCAACAUACAUCAACCGGCAGAAGAAGAGGACAUUAUGAAGUCACCCUGAGAAAUGAAGGUGAGAAGGCGGCUUGCACAGAAUGACAGAAUGUCAAGGUGUUUUCUUUAAAUCGCCUUUGUGAGUUUCACCUGUGUGCUAUGAUUCCUGGCUCUGUCCAUUCCCUUGGUCUAAAUCUACAAACACAGCCUCGUGAGCAGGCUUAAUGACCUCUCCUUGCUCCAAGCCUGGGAUGUACAGCUUCUCUUUCCACCAGCUUACUUCUCACUCCACACAACAGUGGUCUGCCUCCAUCUAAUCACUGAAUCAAGUGACUCUCCCUGGCUGCCUUGGAAACACCUUGGAGUUCAGCUGGAAGUCCUCUUUACAUUCUGCUCUUACCCACUGUCCUUAUGCACACAGCAGAUAAAAAUGGGCUUCUCUGUGCAUUCUUAUAGCUCAGACUCUGUGUGCAUUUAACAAAUAUCCAAGAGAGAAAUCACAUGGCUUGAUGGCUUUUAAACAUCAGCCCACAAGAUCCUCUCCAAGGUUAACAUUUCUUUCCUUUGAAAUACACUUUCCCGUGCCUGGGAAAAGAGUCCUCCCUAUUAAAUUUAUAAUGAUGCU